UUGUAAUUAAUUCUUUAUUAAGUAUUUUUAUUAAUAAGUAUUGUUAUUUGGGCCAUGCAUAACAACACUGUAACAAUUGUAUCUAUCACAGCAUUACAAUAGAAACUAUCUGAAACCUUGAAUUUUUGCAUUUUGUGAACAGUGUUUACUGCUACUCCAGUCUUACUUCAGAUUCGAACCAGUUCUCCCUGAUAAGUCAGGCUGAUAAAGCAAUCCACCUCCAAAAACAGUCAGGCAAGAUUUUGGCACAAACUACAGUCUUAGCUGUAAGUUACAUUACACCAGGGUAUGUCACCAGUGAAGACACAAUACCAAAAUUUGUGCUGCAAACUUGAAUUAUACCUGGGAAGGGAAUAAAGUAAUUAAUCAUCCAGCAAUUAUUUAGAAGCAAGACAGUAAAUAACAGAUGUAAUUAUGGUUUAUAAUCUUAUUUCUUGUUAUUACUGGAAAAAGAUAUAAGAAUAUGUUCUCUUCCUAUACAGAAUCAGUCAUGCUUAUAGUAAGAGCAUCAUUUAAAACCAGAAACACACUGGAUUGCCAAUGCAUAAAAUAAAAACAGUCUAUUGUGUGGACAGGCUAUGCUAGGUGACCGAUCUGUGACAGUUCAAGAAGCUGUCAUUCUUUGCUAUCCAUUCUGCCCAUUUAUUCUGGACAAAUGCCACAGAAACAGAAUGGAGUGUGUGCUCAAGCCUCAGCUAUUCCAUUUUCAUCUAAACACCAGACUUCCCACUAAAACAGUUCACAGGGAAAACCAGUAUGUGUCUGCCAACACCACUGCAACAAUGGCAACGUGUAGCAGAGAAGUAUAAACAGUCACAUAAACAGUCUGAAGCUGCUACCACUGUGGUAGUUCUUCCAUGAACCGUCAUCCCUGUGAACACAAAUGGAGACUCUGCCUUUCAGAAGGCACGUUAAGAAGUGCCACAAAAUGUGUAAGAGGUAACGGCCUUUGCAUUUCCAACAAUGUGUAAGGUAAGGGCAAACCUUCACUCUUGAAUCAAAACUCGGACCCACCCCUGCCAGACUGACAUCCUAUCUAAUAAAACGCAUACAUCUACUCCAAUGCACAAGUGCAUUAGAAUCUAGUGUAAAAACACAUUAUUGUUUUAGGAGAGUGCCUAUUAAACUGAGCCAUUAUAAAAGUUAUGAAUAACUCCUUCUUUGCACACACUAACAGCUGUAGAAGAUAUAAGAAGAACAUACAUGCAUAUUUACUCAUGAUGAAAACAUGGGUUUGUACUACUAAGUCACAAUUCUUUUUAAAGGGAUGAAGUACAUUUCUAGUCUUGCCUGUAGUAUGAAAAUAGUGUUCCAGGAUUAAUACAGGUUCAUAUGAAAACUAAGGGGAAAUUUAAGUAAAAAUUAUUUAUGUAAGGUACUGAAGUACAAAUCCUCAAGGACGAAAAUUCCUCUACAAUUCCAAUGCAGAGGGCUCCUCUUCAACAGGGUAUUAAAUAAACUUUCUUAUUUACUGUAUGUAAUUCAUGGAACGCCAGGAAUGAUAAUUUUCACUAGAGAGAGAGAGACUUCUAAAGGGACAAGAAUGUAAAUGUUUCGCUAUACCCUUACAUCUCAAACCUGCGUGAAUAUUAAUAUAAAUUUAAGCCUUUAAACAAAAAUAUAGUAGCAUAUCCAAGGAAUCAAAAACCUUUCCCUAGUAUCAGAAUCAGGAUGAUAUGGACAGGCAUCACCAAACAAUGCCGCAUUUGAAACAGCAGAUCCUGGUGAAAAUCCAUCUCCUGAUUGAGAAUCAUUGAUAACUUACUUUCUUUAAUCCUUCUACCAAAGGCACACUUCCCCUCCAAAGUACAGUUUGAUUUGUAACAGUAAACAUUCACAAAGUUCUCAUCAGUUAAAAACCUGUGGUAACUUAGAAGUGUUAUUCUUCAUGCUCUUAAAGCCCUUGCACAUGCAGCAGAAAAUGUAUGCCACAACUGGGUCACAUCAAGUAAAAAUAAUUUGGGAAAAAAAUUUUUCAUUGCAAAACAUGUCAGUUCUGUAAACAACAGGGUACAACUUCAUUUCUCUGUUAGAUCUUAUUCUAAGCAGAGGCAAGAGGCAAUGAGAAUUGGUAGAUGACAGGAGAUGAAGAAGUGUAAAUCCCAUGCCUGACAGCUUGACUUUAAACAUGAAGAAUACAGAGUCACAGAAUAAUUAUUCAGGCUGGAAGGAGGUUAUAGUCCAAUCUCCUGCUCAGAACAGGGUUAACACUGGAUUGAAACCAGGCAAAAGAUGUUUAAACCAAAAUGCACUUUCCCUCUCAGAGCAUUUGAAUCGGGUAUAUAGUUAAUGUGCCCCCA
ensembl:lncRNA